UCAUUUUGGCAGUGGAUGAGUUUGUGUGAGCGCGCGCUUUUGAAAAGAAAAAAAAGGGGGCGUUGAGAUAGUGAGUUUCGUGAGUGGAACAGGUACAGCGAGUUCACGCGCUUCCGGACGCAGGUGAGAGAAUCCCCGUCAUGAACGCGCGGAUUAAACAAGGCUGCGUCGGGCUCUUCGCUUGGACGCUGAGGUCGUGAUCGUUUUGGAUUAAUAAUAAUAACAACAACAAUUCCUCCGCGGAUGUCACACCAUUUUCUCAGGUUAAAAUCCCCUUCCAAAAUGACCACGGUGUAGUCGCUAUUAACUCUCACACGCACACGGAUGCUCACAUCUUGUGUCUUCUUAAACAGACACACCCUUGGAAAACAAAAGUACAUAUGUCUCAGUCUGUGUUUGUUUCUCAGUGUGGAGCAUCAUGAGUUCAGCGAGCGUGUCGGGCCUGUUCAUGCCGGCGUUGUUCCUGCUGGCUCUGGCUGUGGUUCUGUUCUCGUGCGUGCUUCGUAAAAGGAGGCAGAUGGAGGGAUCGUACCAGCCCAGUGCGGAAGAGCGGAAACAAACCAAGAACCAAGGAGCCGAGAAACCCGGUCUCGCUCUCCCACUGCCCAAAGAGGAGAGACUGAUCUGAACGCAGCCCUCAGAAAAGAUGCAGAGAUUUAACCACAACUCUGUUAAGGUUAACCUGAUAAACCUAAACUGAACUCUCAUUAUAAUGUACCAUUGCUGUUAAUACGGAGUCCAGUCGCCAUGCCACACGCACAUUUGUGCAGUCCUAACAAACAAGGAACAUUCAAAGUGGUGGUGGGUAUUUAUUCAGCGUUUUUGACUGAGAUGCAAGAAUGCUUUCACACUCUAAUACACUGUUAUAGGUGAUAAAUGAAUUCAAGUAUGCCUUUAAGAGGUUUUGCUAACACUUUUUGGUGUCUGACAACACGGGCAAGUGCAUUUAUCAAAAGAAGAAAGAUGAUUUACAUGGACAGCCAAGCCAGUUUGUCGUUUUUGUUUACUUUAUUUGUACUUAAGGUUUGCUCACCUGUGAGUCCAUAUGAAGGAGACACAUGGCAGCUUUACCUCUAAAAUAGUUCAGCAUUACUGUAUUAAAUGCUUUAAAUGUCCAGAAAGGAAUAUUAUGUUGCAGCUCUUUCAAAUGUAGAGAGAAAAAUAUGUAUAUUGCACUUUGCCAAAUAUCGUUUUGUGUUAUGUUUGCCUUUUUGUAACUUCUGUAACGUAUCAAUAUUAGGAUGAUGCUGAUCAUAACAAUGUGAUGAAGUGAAUAUGUAACUGUGGUUUAUUCAGUAAAAUGCAUCUUUGGGUUAAAAACUUUGUCCUGAAUUUCUGAUGUCAUCUGAGAGUUUUGUGGGCGGUUUUUUAUGUCAAUGUUUGCUUUAUGUCAGCUGCUGCUGUUUUGUUCUCUUUGAUAAGCCUUUUAUAAAUGAUUAAAGAUAUUUAGGUAAAA